GGCCGGAAUAGCUCAGUUGGUAGAGCAGAGGACUGAAAAUCCUCGUGUCACCAG
rnacentral:tRNA from 1 species